GAUGAACGCUGGCGGCGUGCCUAAUACAUGCAAGUCGAGCGAACAGACGAGGAGCUUGCUCCUCUGACGUUAGCGGCGGACGGGUGAGUAACACGUGGAUAACCUACCUAAGACUGGGAUAACUUCGGGAAACCGGAGCUAAUACCGGAUAAUAUAUUGAACCGCAUGGUUCAAUAGUGAAAGACGGUUUUGCUGUCACUUAUAGAUGGAUCCGCGCCGCAUUAGCUAGUUGGUAAGGUAACGGCUUACCAAGGCAACGAUGCGUAGCCGACCUGAGAGGGUGAUCGGCCACACUGGAACUGAGACACGGUCCAGACUCCUACGGGAGGCAGCAGUAGGGAAUCUUCCGCAAUGGGCGAAAGCCUGACGGAGCAACGCCGCGUGAGUGAUGAAGGUCUUCGGAUCGUAAAACUCUGUUAUUAGGGAAGAACAAAUGUGUAAGUAACUAUGCACGUCUUGACGGUACCUAAUCAGAAAGCCACGGCUAACUACGUG
rnacentral:rRNA from 1 species